UGGUUGCGGAGAAAACUACAGAAGAAAAAAACACGAUAAAAAAACAAUGGAGCAAAUACGAUUUGACAAACGACCUAACUUAAUAUAGCAAGUGACAAGAACUCCAGCUUGUCCUAUUUAUUUACGUUUCUUGUUGAUUUUCUCAGUAAACAAACAAAGAAAAGAAUUAAAAAAACUAUAAGCAAAGGACAUUACCAGGUUGAAAUUCUCG
rnacentral:misc_RNA from 1 species